GCCACUGACCGCUCGGCGAGCCAGCGGGAGAGGAUUAGGGCUCCCGAGGCAACUUGCUCGGGGCUCAGGCCGUUCUCCCCCGAAGCUCGGGCUGCCGGGCUGUUCUGGCUCUGGCCUCCCUCUCCUCCUCUUCCUCUUCCUUCUGUCCCCUCCCGCGUUCCUUCCCGGCCGCGCCGCCUGCGCCCUCGCCUCCUGUGGCGCUGCUCCUCCGCCCUGCGCUCCUGGGGUCCCCGCAGUCCGGCUGGCCGCGUUGCGCGCGGGGCUCACUUUCUGCCGCCGGUGGCGAGUGGCUGGUGGGUAGGUCUACCUGUUGACGAGGUCCCUCCCGGGCUCUAGGAAAAGGGGGGAACUUGGAGCAGGCCGUUCAGCUUGGUUUGGUCCCCACGCCGUGGUGCACAUCCCCGGGGCCUGGCCUGCCUUGGCUGCUCCGGAGGGCUAGUUCCUCCAGAACUGGCUGCGCUCGGCGCGCUAGGGGAAGAAGAAUCGGGAAUGGGAUGAUUAAACCCAGAGGAACUGUUUCCUGACUGCUACACCAUUACUCCGUCUCCCCCAACCUCAGAUAUCUAAAAACGUUGGGUGGGAGGAAAGGGGCGCUUCUUGCUGUUGGGACAAUCAGGUUGGAACGCACCGGUAAACCGAAGUUGACUCCGCGGACUGACUUUUUGUCUUUCAGACCCGCGAGGUCUGCUUCUCAGUUUAACUCUAGAAUUGAAGCUCACUAACCCGAAGCCAAAGAGCGAAAUGAUCUUUCAGUAGUCUAAAGUUUGUAAGAUUUUUAUAUACUGUUCAAUUCUUCUCACUGCUGGUCUCCUGCCCUUUGUUUUUAAGCAAACUUGUGCAACUAGCUGUGGUAUUUUGGUAAUUAUAAGGACAAGUCUCCAUGACUUUGUGGAGAUUUUUUAAAAAUGCAUUAGUCUAAGGGCGCGAGUAGGGAGGGAUUUAUUACAGAACAGUGAAAGACCUAUUUCACGUCCCCAGGCGUUAAUAUAUAAUUUUCUCUCGAGAAACUACUUGGAGAGAGAAGACUGUUAGGUGCAACUCGCCGGUAACCUUCUUCAAUCAUUCUUACAUGUUCCCAUCAUCUGUUACGGUCUCCCAAAGACAGUCACAGGAAGGCCACGAAGAACCCCCGCGCUUCCCCCAAAGCUUCUAAAAAGCCAUUUCUUAUCUAAUGGGGCUGCCAGUUUUAUCUAAAAAGUCCUACAGACACAAACCAUAGAAGGCUUAAUUUCGGUGUCUUGUUGCUGUGAGAAGACCCGGUGUGUUAGGAAACUCCUUUCUUUAUAUCUUUCGCAAAAUCUAACCCUUGAUAAGAGCUGUAAAUCCUGGCCGGCCGCAUUGGCUGGGCUUGAACGGGUAAUGCCUCUCCAAAGCGGAAAGGGAAUCAAAGAUGCGUAAGUUUCCUCCUGACCUAGCUGAGGCUUUCUUCCCCAGGAACUAGUUUUGAUUUGUUUUUUCUCAAGGAGGAUUUCAAAUUGGAUCUGUCUUCCCUUCCAUUUUUAUUAUAAGUUGUUUUAGAGCGCGUGUAUGAAAGCGAAAGUUGGAUAGACCUAGGUUGAUAAGUUUACCAGUUGUGUGGUGUGUGUUUUUUUUUUUUUUUUUUUUUGGUCUGUUUCUAGUCUCUGGUAUUAGAUGUAUGGAGCCUUUUGUCAGGCUGCUUUUGCAAAGCUGAUGCUGUUAAUCUCAAUACGAAGCAAAUCUUCCUAGUAUUUGUGUGUGUUUCCCAUAGAGAUAAACAUGUUGACCCUAGUAAAAAAAAAAAAAAAAAAAGAUACCACCACAAUGCCAGAAAAUAGAGUUUUACCUAGUCAUAUUCCAUCAUGCCACUUUUAUAAGAUGGAAUUAAACACCAGAAGCCACCAGAAGCCUGAUGACUUACAUUUGAGAUCCACAAAGCACCCUCACUAUCCAUCCUCCUUCAAACCAGCCCCCACCUCCCACCCACAGUGUGGUAUUUUAACUCCCUAAACCAAUAAGCUAUUACAAAGAAUUAUUGCAGAUGAUAGCACUUCCAAGUAGAAAAGCUUGCAUGCGGCUUGGGGGAAACCUUUAGUAAUAGACAAUUUCACCUUAAUGGUGAAGACAACAUUUUCCUCUUUUCAUUCUGCACCAUUGUUGUAAACAAGUAUUUUCUUAAUAAGUUCCUAAACUGAUAGAAGCAAGACGCAUGGUGAAGAUACCAGCAUUAAAAGGAGACGUUUGAGGGACCCCACCAUGAUGGACAUGCUCUGAAGUUCAGUGCAUGUAUCAUGACACAUUUUGCAUUAAAAUCCAAGUUAGAAUAGCAGGCUUUGUAGUUUUACUUUACCUUGAAGUUCUAAAUUGAUCAUGGAUUAUUAUGAUUUCCUCAGCUGAUUGCUGUAUGUGGAUUUAGUGCAUCAAAUAUAUCUGUAAAAUUUUGUAUACAUAAAACUGAUGAGCAAUUUAUCCGUAAUACUUGAUCACAGGAGCGACCUCUUGUGUUCAAAGCGGGGAUUAGACCCUCUCCUCUCAAAAAAGGACUCGUUUUGACCUUUGUAUAUUGUUAGGUCAAAAAUAUAUCCUUGAAAACGGCAAUAGUGUGAAUCUCUGGUUUGAUUCCUUUACUGAGAAAAUGAGGAGUAUGAGUAGUUAUUAAGUGUAGUCCCCAUCACCUCCAGGCUGCCUCAAUAUAUCUGACAGUGUCUUUCAAUAUAAAAGGGAUACUGAAAUUUAAGUUCCUCUGGAGUCUGUGGCAUCUGCCCAUGUGCCCUUGUAUACACCUUCCAAAAUGUGGCUGUUACACCCAACCUCCUGAUGGGCUCUUAGACUUGUGUUUUUGUGUACUGUUGCUUUCUCUGCUUUAGUUACCAUUUAAACAUUCCACAUCAAACUUAAUGUCAGAUACAGAUUCCUGCACAAACAUCAUGCUCUCAAGCUACAUUUCAAAAAUCUAAAUAGGUUUUAAUUGCAAUUGAAAGGUAAAAUUACACAUUUAGCAUUUAUUUAUCUCCCAAUAACCUCUGGCAGAUAUAAAUGAAUUUUAAGUUGUUUCUUUGGGAAAUCACAAACAGUAAGACAGCUUAUUCCUUCUCAUCUAACCAAGACUGGGAAGGGAAGAGGGGCUUUGAUCAGCUUUCCAAUGGAGGUAUAAAUUUGAGAAUUUAUUCCCAGGGAGAUGAUGCUAUAUGUUUAGCUCACAUCAGAAUCAGGUUUGAAAGAGUAGAAUAAGUUACACUGCCAGUUUUACUGAGUAAGGUAUUCAGAUGAAAAAAUAUGUAUAACUGAAGGAUUUAUAUUUUCUGAUGUCCACAUCAUAUAAUUUGGGGGCCAAAAUGAAACAGGAAGAUUUUAUUUACCUCUAAAAAUGGAUAUUGAGUAGAUGCGUAUGUAUCCCCUUUCCCGUUUUUAUCUUUUCUGUGUAGUCUCUAAUGAUGUAGAAUAAGGCUAUAUAAAUCCUCAGUAUCUUUAAUCAUGUCCAAGGGUCAGAUAAAAUUAUGUGCGUUUAAAGGGAGUUACGAUUAACCAUUUAUAUUCCACCGCGAACGGGGUGUGGGUGUUUAGAACCAAUUUGCGUCUCUUCCCGUUGGUGGUGGUGGCUUAUUGAGGAACAAUCAGGAGAAUCUGUGCUCUAAUUUCAGAGAAAAGGAAGAGAUACCAGUGGAACUCCUAAGUGACCAGGAACAGACGAUUUUUAACCGAGUUCUGCUGCGUGGAGCCCAGGUUGGCGCUAGUGAGUGCAGUGUGCUGACCCAAGUGGUGGUGGCCCAAGGACGCGCUGACCCGUACAUUUGGCAAAGCUUUCAUUAAAUGUAUCAGAUUCUCGCGGAAGUGGUUGCAGUCCGGAGAGUGAAACAGCUAUCUCUCAAGUCCUGACCGGUUCAGCUGAAAUCUACAUUUGCACUGAAUCUGGCAAAACACGGACGGGUCCGCCCGAGAUCUCAGGAAACCCAGAGCAAGUUACCUCCAUGUAGUUGAUCAUUCUUUCUGAAAGGACGGACACCAUUUACCCCACUGCAAUCCUGUCCAACGGGCAGCUCUGAGUUUAGCUUUAGCGCCAAAGGAUUGAUUUCCCCCACCCGCUGGAGAUUUACUGGGGACGAGCGGGGGAGGGGAGGCGAAGGUACCUCGGAGGAGGUCAAGUGGGGGAGGAGGAGGAGCAGCAGAAAAUUACCAGCCAAGCAGGGGAGGGAGUUGGAAGCCCGGAAAUAUACCAGGAUGCCUCAAGUAACCUUCCUUUAAGUCUCAGAAUUCAGCCCUCGGAAAACAGCCUCAUAAGGUGUCCUGGGAAGGAGUCCUCGGGUGGGCUGCGGAGGUGAUGUCAAGAGUUACAGCUACUUUAUGAAUUAAACUGACGGCUAAGGCAUGUCGGGACAGUUUAGUGUAAGCUGAAUGGUGCGUGGACGGGGCAACUUUUAAAGAGAGGUGGGCAAUCAUUGGUGGCAUCUACCAGUAUAUUCUGCAUGUAACAGUAGUUUGGAAGCUGAAGAAAAACCCCUCAAAUCCCAGUAAAUGCCCGGUCAGUUCGAGAGAGAUUUUAGGGACAAUUUUGAAGGUCGCUGUCUGCUCCAACUCCGCAGAGAUGAACAAGAGUGUGAACUCUGGCGCGGGUGUGUUUAGAAUUAUCUACGACUUCAGAUCCAUGCUGUUGAAACUCAUCAAUUCUUUGUGACUUCACGUGGAGAGAAGAAUUUGCCCUGCCUCCCUACCUGCUAAAUGCCGACUGAGAAAAGGGGCCCAGGAGACGACCCCUUUCAGAAAGAACGUCACUUCAUCAACUCGGCUGAGUUAUUAACUUGCUCCCCGAAAGGUCAACAACGCCUUCUCUUCUCAGCCGCACCGCGCGGAGAUCAAUCGCUUUACCCUAGGUAGCCUCUUGUUCAGGGCUCAGGAACUCCUGUCUUAAGGUCCUUCUGGGGCUCAGAAGCUGUGUUGUGUAUGUUCUUUCCAAGAAUCCCACCUGUCUGCUUUCAAGCACACACGGCGCUAGAAAUUUAGCCUAGCCUGAGUCCUGGGAUGAGAGAAGAGCUAAACAAAGAGACCCCAACCGUCCCCUUGGCCCCCUGCCCCGCCGUUUUGCAGUUUGCCAACCUUCUAGCUAGACAGCCCCCUAAGUCUCCGUGUUGCGAGUGAAAGAGAAUUUUUCUAUUUCAUCUUCCCAUUGACCGAAGCAGAAAAAUUGAACCGAAUCUACGCCCCUUGUUCUGAUUCCUGCUAGAGGAAAACAGAAAAUCAUCCCGCAGGUCUCUUUCAGUCCCUGGAUGGCGAGCGCAGCCCCUGGGAGGCCACACUUAGUUCUUUAUUGUGAAUCUCUCGCUACUCAAGUUCGUUCGGGACCAGGGCCUCGGAUGGCCUCGGUUGCCCGUAAGUACGCGAAAGAAGAGGUGAAUCCAAUCGCUGGCCUAGAGGAUAGUGAUCAGACAACCCGAGGAUUACUAAACAAGGGGCGGCGGUGUCCCUGUCUCAUGGGGUUGGCGUGGGGCGGGGGGUAGGCAGCAAGAUCCUCCAGGCUCCUGGAUGCAAAGAGUGAGAAAGAAAGCGCAGCCUCUGGCAGCCUGCUUAUAAAUGCAGCCUUUCGGAAGAUGAAACUUGCAGUCUUAGGUUGUCCUCCUUUAUAUCCAUGUUCCAAUCCUCUGGGCUUUCCUCGAAAUGAAUAAAAUUGUGGAAAUGAAUGAAUGAGAAUAUCACUUUAAUUGUUUCAAACUCAUUGUCAAGUCACCUUUUCUGCCAUCUGCCAGAGGUUCAAUUUGCGCUUCGUGUCUACAUUCCAGAAAAUUGUAAGGACGUUUCCUCUGCAUCUGUCUGCCUUGUUGGCAGCGUGCGGAAACGAUAACUGCACAGUUAUUGGUACAGAAUAUUUUCAUGACUAGCUUAAUUCUAAAUAUCACCCCAAAAUACAGAUACCUUACUUCUUAGUUGGCAUUAUUCAAGUUUAUUCACUUUGUGCUGCAAAUGUUUGAAUUAGAAAACAGGAGAGAACUCCCGCAGCAGAGAUGCACUUCUCUGCUCUCCUGUCAGUCACAGAACCCACACUGGGUGAUUAGCCAGAGGGGCGGGCUCCUUUGUUGACUUAAGAGUUCACCAGGCAAGAUGGAACAAUUAUCUUGUUGCCUCUUCUUAACUGUCUAUUGUUGACUUACUUCUAGUAUGCUUCCAUUGUACAAAAUUCUAUCCAAAAUUGAAGAAUAAAUCGUAAGUUAAAAAGGUAAUAAUGAUAAUAGGUCUACUUUAAUUUUACCUGGCUUUGUUAAUAGAUAGUCUAUACCUGACAGUCAUAUACAUAAGAGAUGUCGAAAGUAUAUAGCAUAUCAUUUAUGUAUAAUUAUAUAUGUUAUAAUUAUAUGCUAAUGAUACCAUCAUUUAACGUUACAAGGUAAUUCUAUAGAAAACUUGAAGUUCUAUUUUUGAUAUAUAUAACACCCUCUUUACAAGAAAAUAAUUGUCAGGCUUAAAAAUGAUAUUCAAGGGUGCUUUUAUCAAGAGAACAAAAUCUGAAGCUUCAUGAACUAAAAUCCUAUCAAGCAAGGUGGUCCAUAACUAGGUUGCUUUGGGUUAAUGAUAACUUAAAAUACUCUUGUUUUUGUAACUUUUUGUGCACAAAGUGCACAUUUUACAGUUGUGCAUGUCAAUGUGUGUUUUACCACUUAUUAUUCUGAAACCUUCAGUCACAUCAUUUCAGCAGGAAAUAAAACCUGAAUAAGUCCUAGGCAAUGUGUAAGGAAUAAGUAUGGUUUAACUUUUGUAGCUUAACAAUAUUGUGCUGAUCUUUAAAUGCAAAUAUUAAUAUAUUGAAAUUAAUAUAAGUAGAUAAUUUCAUCACCUCCUAAUUUAUAAAAAAUGGAAAAGCAAAUAUAACAAGCUGCUUUACUUUCUAUAAUGUCUAUUUAAGGACCUAUUACCAAAAUAUAGUAAUAAUAGGAUUCAUGUAUGUGUAACACAUAUGUAGCUAUCACUCUAUUAUUGGAGAGUUCAGUCUAGUUAUAAACACACUGAACUAUCAUAUGAUGUGUGCCAUUACUUGAAUGUUGCUAAAUUGAUGCUAUGCUAUAUUUUAAGACUCUCCCUCCUCUUUCCAGAUACAUGUACUAGCCCAGGAAGAUCCCUGCAUCUUGAACAGUAAUGCUGAAUCGGAAACUAUGUCGUUACCCAUAAGUAGAAUCCUCCUGACUUUCACUUAAAUAUCAGGACCCAAAUUAUUUUAUGUCUCACUUCAGAACAUAGCACAAUGUGCUAUUUUAUCUUCUUGGCCCAGUCUUUAGAUUUAUUCUAUACUCUCCGUGUUACAAGCUGCACAAACCAUUGGUGACAAUGAGAACCACUCUAUAUAGUUUUACUGACUUUGGAUUCUCAUAUAAUGUAUGAACAAAUAUAAGCCAUAUCUUUUAGGUCUUGACGAUGUGUUUCUUCCAAUUCUGAAGUGUUCGUAUAGUUGUCCCUAAUGUCACGUGAUACGUCUCUUCGUUGUCCUAUACCCGAGCCAUAGCAGAUCUGAUGUGACUUUGGAUAUACCAUGUGAGGGCAAGCAUUUUCUUUUAGGCUAGGCCAUCAAUGAGGAAGAAACAUGAGUAGAGCUCUUAAAGCAGAGGAAAAUGUAAGUGGAUGGAAAAAAAUCACACUUUUGAAUAUAGUAUUGGAGAAAGAAUUGAGUGUGGGUGACUUUAUUAGCUAGCAGAAGAAAGAGUGAAAAUAGGUGCUUGGCUAAGAUGAGAAAAGUAUUCAAUUUUGAAAACAGAAAGAGAAAGCUUAUUUAGAAAAAGAAAACAUGGAGUAAAUGUCAAGAGGAACAUAAAGAAAUAGGGCGUGGUGACCCAGUUCAUUCUGAUAGAAUAGGCGUUUAAGGGCAAAACCCAGAUCCGAAAUAGGUAGUGGAUGGAACUAGGGAACAGUAGAUUCAUAAUUAUUUUAACUUGGCAUUUAAAACUUUAAAAUCUGAGUUGAGGGGUUUUUUUUAAUGGUAGAAAAGCAGCUUAUUUGGCAAUAAUUUUAAAAACUUCUGUCGCAUCUUUAAUCAUACUAGACUGUUCACCUUUGUAAACUCCUCACUAUCAGUAAACUGUCAGUACACUGUCAGUACAGAAAAUACAAACUAAAAGUACUAGAAAUAUCACAAUACGGAUUUCUCUUUUUAAUGUAACUAGGUUUAUCUAACAAUAAGAUUCAGGAUUCAGAAAAGAAAAAAGACCAGAUCUGAGAAGGAAUUUUAAAAAAUGGUUUCAAAGUUUUCCAGAGUUUUGUUAGCCAUUGCCCUUUCUGCAGACGUGGUUAUAUCAGAAAGUGUAAUUCAAGUAUUUGCACUGCUUACUUAAACCACAAUAAAAAGGGAAAGAUGUUGUGAAAACACUGCCUCAUGCUCAAAUUUAUGCAAAACAACUUGAAAGGCUGCCAGCAACACUGUUGUUAUGUUAGCAGUUCUGAUCUGGCUUCACAUUCUCCUAGAGGAGUUCUUCUGAUGUGAGAAGAAUGUAAACCCAAACCACAAGGGAGUAUUCAUUGUACCUAUGCACUUGGGAAGAGUUUGGGUGCCCAAAAUGUCAGAAAAAUCAGAUACAGUUGUUCUCUUAGAAUCUAUUCUGGAGGUCACAAGGUCAGAAUGCCUGCACAUGUGCAUAAACCAACAUGCCCAUAAAAGCCUGAUAGGAGGCAGCAGUGCCCCAUAAAAGGUCACACCCAGCCAGAAUCCAGCAACGUUGGAACAGCGUCUGUUAUGGAGAAGAAAUAUGUGUCUGACAGCAGCAACAGCAGCAGCAGAGAAAGAUGGAUUGGGGAUUAAUCAUGGUAAGAUACUGAGCAAAAGAGACAACAAAUUCUGCCAAGCAUGAAUCCUUCUCUACUCACAGGUUUCACAAAAUACACUCUUCAAAGUACAAGCUGGUUGGCCAAGGUCAGGUUGAUCUUUGCUAGGCUAAAGAAGCAGCUGCGGAGUGUUUCCCACGGCAGAUGGAGAACACCUAAGGAUUUUUUACUGUUAAAAAAAUAAUAAUUUGUGUUUCAACAGUAGAAAUACUCCUGAUAACACACGUGAUCAAAAUUGCAUUCCCCCUCAGUUCUCAUGACAUUCACUUUGGGGUAAUACCAUUUAAAAAAUAUUAUUGGUAGCUGUUAGCCUGUGGCUUUCCAGGACCUUACUUUUAAUGUAUUUCCCUUGUCUUUCUAGAUUUAACAUAUUGCCUCAUUUCAUAAUCUCCCUUCAUUGAGAUCAUUUGUAUAAGCAAAACAUGUUACAUGACAGUCUUUGGAAGACUGAAUAGGCGCCACUAAAUUGUGCAGUUUAGAGGGCUCUAGGCAAGGCCACCCAGACUGAAAUGGUAGCCCCUCUAUAUCUGUCAAAGCAUCUCAAAUAACUCUAAGAAAGAUUUACUACUUUGACAAUCAUAAAGACUCUUUAGUUUUCAGGAGGUUUUGUUUAGUUUUGUUGGUUGGUUAUUUAAUGCCAAAGCUUUCUGUAAUUGAUUUUUCCUGCUUCUUUACCCAUUUGUACCAUUAUGAAGAUUUCUAUAAUAAGCAUGCCAAUAAUAAGAAAAAAGAAGGAAAGAAGGAGUUGAAAAGGAAAUAAAGAUGAUAAACCUAAAAAUAAAUGAUACACAAUGGAAUACUAUUCAGCAAUUGAAAGAACAACUGAUACAUACUUUAACAUGGGUGGGUGAGUCUCAAUAUGCUGAGUAAAAGAAGCCAGAACAAAAAUGGACACUCUAUAAUUCUACUUAUGUAAAACUCUAGGAUAUACAAACUAGUGUUUGACAAACUGAUAGUGAAAGAAAUCAGAUGAGUGGUGACUGUGGGAUGGAGUAGGCGAAGGGUAGAUGGGAAAGGCAGAGAUUAAAAAGGGACUAGAGGAAAUUUUUGGAAGUGAUAGACAUAUUCCUUAAUUUAUAUUCCUUAUUUUUAUUGUGGUAGUUUAAUGGGGGUAUGCUGUGGCAAAGCUUACCAAAUUAUAUAUUUUAAAUAUGGGCAGUUCAUUGUGUAUCAUUUAUACCUCAAUAAAGCUAUUAAAAAUAGAAAAGAAACUGCAUUGUGUUGUCCUGUUCUUUGUUAUUGUUAUUAGUAGUAGUAUUACAUAAUUUUUACAAUAAAGGGGAAAGGGCAAAUACGCAGCACUGUAUUUAUGAAAUAAGGUACUUGAAGGGAGAAAAAAAGGAGUUUAGCUCAGCCUAAUUGGUGUUUGGUCAGUGGGUACUGGGGAAUACCAAUCUGAAUUUUCUAUUGCCUAAUACUACAAUUUCAAGCACUUUCCCAUCUUGUAAUACUACUCUUCAGGAUCCCAAGAUAGGCUUCCCAGAAAACAUCUCUAUAUUUUGCUUUCCCCAAAGUCAAAUUAAUUCUGUAAUUCCUAGCACUCUGUAUUAUUUUUUUCAACACAUCACUUUAUAAUUUGUUUACAUAUAGGGUUUGCCACCAUCUUCCAAGACUCAAAAAAAAAAAAAAAGUUUUUGAGGAGAGAGUCCAUAUCUGGACCAUUACUGUGAACUAUUGUCUCUACAAAUUUUCGGUGAAUUAUCAAAUGGUCUCCCAGCCAGAUAGCUGGGCUCCUGCUGCCUUUGGCUGAACUUCCUCAGACAUCAACUGCUGGUUCACCCAAAUGCUUGCCUGAACAAAGACACCAUUUCCUGGGUACCCUGUUCUCUUGGCCCACGGGACCCUGGAGUCAGCCUGAUCCAUAUCUGAGUUCUUCAUACCCAUUGGGCACUCCCUCUGAGACUUGGCUGCACCCCAAGUCUUUCCAGACAGGUUUGCCACCUUCUCUUUCUGGCCCUUGUGAAUGAGGCUCCAGCAUGUCCAUAUCCCACUCCUUUUUCCUCAUAAACUUAAUUUGCUAUGAGCUGACUUCAAUAUCUGAUUUUCAAGUAGUCAUAUCAGCUCUAUGGUAAAUCAAUCAGCCACAGACAGACUUUUCUGUGAGGCAGAGGGAAGGAAGAAGGGAAAUGAUUUAACUGGGAUGUGUUUAAAUACAAGAUUUAUUUCUUUUCAUGUUUUGGAUUUGGGGUUUAAACAUCACUGAUCAGGGAAAAGAUCAGUCAGUUUCUUUGUGGAUCAUAUUUGUGAGUCUUUCCACAGGGCAGGACAUGUACCCAGUGAGGGAGCAAAUAGCUUCAUUAAGGACAGGGAUGGGUAUGAAGCAUUUAGGGUCAGAGGAGAUGGAGCUAGAUUAAGAGCAUUAGUAUUGACUAGAAUUCUUUCUUUAUACUCUGAUCAG
rnacentral:lncRNA from 1 species